GACGAACGCUGGCGGCGUGCCUAAUACAUGCAAGUUGAGCGCUGAAGGUUGGUACUUGUACCGACUGGAUGAGCAGCGAACGGGUGAGUAACGCGUGGGGAAUCUGCCUUUGAGCGGGGGACAACAUUUGGAAACGAAUGCUAAUACCGCAUAAAAACUUUAAACACAAGUUUUAAGUUUGAAAGAUGCAAUUGCAUCACUCAAAGAUGAUCCCGCGUUGUAUUAGCUAGUUGGUGAGGUAAAGGCUCACCAAGGCGAUGAUACAUAGCCGACCUGAGAGGGUGAUCGGCCACAUUGGGACUGAGACACGGCCCAAACUCCUACGGGAGGCAGCAGUAGGGAAUCUUCGGCAAUGGACGAAAGUCUGACCGAGCAAAGCCGCGUGAGUGAAGAAGGUUUUCGGAUCGUAAAACUCUGUUGGUAGAGAAGAACGUUGGUGAGAGUGGAAAGCUCAUCAAGUGACGGUAACUACACAGAAAGGGACGGCUAACUACGUG
rnacentral:rRNA from 1 species